rnacentral:lncRNA from 1 species
AAUUGCCGCGGCAGGCAGACAUUCUGGAGACCAAAGGGGCGAUUGUAGUAUUAUUUUAAGAACUAAAACUUCCCAGAGCCCCAAAAUGUUCUGAGGACCUUCAAAGAAAGCUGUUUUUGUCCUUUGAAGGUUUGGCCAGUGUUUGACCUUCUCGCUGAAUCGUCCAAUUUCUUUCAAAGGAAGGUGGUGACCCCCACCCCAGCAGAGAGUUUAUGCUGAUAGCCAUCAUCAAUGACAACUGAAAGUUCAGGGUAGAGGGUGUUGUUCCAGUCUCUAAUGCAUAGCCAGUAAAAAAAAAGGACUAUCAGGAACGAAGACCAGAGUCUGCCCCCACCGGGAGAUCAGAUGGAUGCCCCCACCCAGAGACCAGCAGCCUAUAUAACUGGCCUGUAGUCUUUGUUCUCAGGCAGAUGACCCUCCUUGGGUAGUGACAAAUUUGGCAACUCUGGCAGGACAUUAAGUCUUGCUCCUGGCCAGUCAAUCAUAGACAGGCAGCCUGUUGGAUAAGUCCCUUGCACUGCUGAGACUCUCUUUGUCUUUGGGAACUUCCCUCCCUGCUUUCCAU